UUGACCUCAAAUCAGGUAGGACUACCCGCUGAACUUAAGCAUAUCAAUAAGCGGAGGAAAAGAAACUAACAAGGAUUCCCCUAGUAACUGCGAGUGAAGCGGGAAAAGCUCAAAUUUAAAAUCUGGCGGUCUUGCGGCCGUCCGAGUUGUAAUCUGGAGAAGCGUUUAUCCGCGUCGGACCGUGUACAAGUCUUCUGGAAGGGAGCGUCGUAGAGGGUGAGAAUCCCGUCUUUGACACGGACAACCGGUGCUUUUGUGAUGCGCUCUCGAAG
rnacentral:rRNA from 1 species